CAGGUCCCUCUGCCUCUCCAGCCUGAGCUCUCUACCUGGCCCAGUGCUGGGGACUCUUGUCCCACCCGCCAGCCAGGACGGACAGUCCCAUUCCUCUGUCCCUGUCACCAUUCACUGGCUCUGCCUGUGGUGCCUCUGAGGGCAUUGGGGGGACCUCCAAGGCAUUGAGGGACCCUGGGCGAGCUCAAAAAAAAGGGGAGGGCAGCGUGCCAAUCUUCCAGCAGCUGGAGGCGCCCCCUGCUGACCGCCCUGAGCACCUUGCAGUGGGUGGGCUCGAGGAUCCCUGUGACCCCACGAGAGGAGCCUAAUGCCCCAGCACCCCAUCUUCACGGCCCCCCACGGUUAAGGUGCUUGGUGCUUACCUCUGUGUUGAAUGCUCUGAGUCUGGGCCCCGCAGUCGUGGGCAUGAGGAGCAGUUGUGGGGGCAGCAGGCGUCCUAGACCACAUCCUUGGCAAUGCCUGGAACCUGGAGCCAAGUUGCACCCCGACUCCUGUUCCCCAGCCCUUCCGCUCACUGGGUCAUCUUCUGAUCCCUGUAUCCAACUCUCUGCUGGAAAGACCUGGGGUGGUUUUGGUUUCCAGCAAAGCUGACUCAUGCCACCCUCUUCCGGCACCCCGGGAAGUUGGUUGCAUAACUUUCCUGAAUCUUCCUUUGGGUCCUCCCCAACAACACACACCGAGAUCUGUUGGUCUUUUUCUUCUCAUUUUCAGGUGUGUUUUUUCCUCACCACGAAAGAUACAUGCUCGGUCUUUUAUAGUGUCUCAUGCAAUCUUCCUAAAAAGCUUCCAAAGUAGGCAUGACUUUAAGUAUUUUGGUCAGCUUUUUCACUUCUGUAACCAACAGACCCUGAGAUCUUUGAAAGAGGAAAAGUUUAUUGGGGCUCAUGGUUUCCGUGGUCUCAGUCCAUAGGAGGCUGACCGUCUUGCUCUGGGUCAUCGUUUGGCUGAGACAGAACAUCAUGGCGGAAGGGCGUGGAGGAGGACAGUAGCUCAGGACAGGGCACCAGGAAGCAGAGAGAGCUCUGCUCAACAAGAACAAAAUAUAUACCCCAAAGGCACAGCCGCAGUGACCCACCUCCUUCAGCCACCCCCACCUGCCUACGUCACCGCUCAGUUAAUCUAUAUCAGGGGAUAAAUGCGCUGAUUGGGCUAAGGUUCUCCCACCCCAGUCAUCUCACCUGUAAACCUUCUUGCACCGUCUCACACACGAGCUACGGGGGACACCUCACGUCCAAAGCACAGCAGUGAGGAACCCGAGGCUCAGACAAGUGAAGAGGAGGCCUUGGCUAGCUCUGGUGGUCUCUUGAGAAGUUGAAAAGAACACCUCUUCUUGGAGGAAGACUUUCAAAAGGGCCCUCUCUGACUAAAUGACAAAUCACUCGGGCUGAUGGGGGCCCAGAGGCAGACGGCACAGCCAGGCCAGGCACACAGAGGAGACACAGCCUACCCCAGGGUGGGCAGCCCCCCGUGGCCACAAAGUUCUGAGUGGUCGUAGGGCUGGGUUCUGACUCGGUCCUCUUCUUUUUUAAAUAACUGUAUUAUGCUCUUGGAUAACAAUCUAACUCUUUGCCAGCAUUUCUCUUCGUGCUAUCGCUGGAUUUUUGACAUCUGUACAUGCACAUUUGUGGAU
rnacentral:lncRNA from 1 species